UAUGAUAAUUCUUUCCAGGGAUAUAAUAUUCUCAGUUAUCUCUCUCUUUGAGUACUCAAAUUCUUUUUUACUGUUGCGAGGGCUGCUGUUUUGAAAGCUAUAUGUGCUGGCUUUGAAAUGUUUAAGUGGAGGUUUGACUCCGUCCCAAUUCUUCAUGAUCUUGACCGUAGAACAUAUAGCGUAAAAUAAGCUAAAUUGCUGCUUAUUCUCAAUGAACAAUAGUUUACAUGAGCCUCAUGCUUGUGCCUUGAUCUAUUUAUUUUGUGGAAGAGUUUGUGCGUUCCCUUUGGUUAACAGCGUUCAGUAUAAAGGAGAAUGGAUACACAUCUUGUGAAGGUAAAAAAGUGUUGCUUCUUGUUCUGAAGGGCGUAUUAUUUCACUUUAGAAAUAGAGAUUUACUGGAUGUGAACAUAUAUUUAGCUGUUUAACUUGUUUUUAAUCUCUGGUAAACUUUGCAAUCAUUCUGUUUCUGAUAAACUAAAGUGGGUUUCUCCGAAUUUAAUGUUCAACUGCUCGGAUCCGAGCAACAUACCUGACAUGUAUGUUCUUACCCUGUCUCAUCAGAAUAUUGCUUAUUGAAAUACUUUUAAGAGCUCAAUCUUUCUAUUUGAGUUGUACUAGCAAAGGGAAUUUUAGAAGAUAAUCGGGCUUAUUGAGUUGCUAGUCAUCUUGAACAUUAUACAAGUUAAUUUUUUUUCCAACUUAACUGGCUUGCUAUUAGCAAAUAUUAAUUGUUCAACUUUCAAGAUAGCAGUGAAAUGUAUAAUGUCCUACUACUUCCCUUAAAAGUUCCAUUUCUUGAAAUUAUGAAGCUUCAUAUCCAUGAAUGCCAUCAUUCAUCUAUUUGCUUGUUUCUUCCAUAUGUAAUCUUGUCCAUCAUUUACAGAGAAAAGGAUGGACUUAUGCUCUUUUACCUUGUUCCUAAAUUGUACAAAAAGGCACUCAUCAAAGGUUGGAGUUGGACGGGUCCUUAUAUUUUCUAUCCUAUAUA
rnacentral:lncRNA from 1 species